CUGAAUCAGCAUGUGUGUUAGUGGAAGCGUCUGGAAAGGCGCGCGAUACAGGGUGACAGCCCCGUACACAAAAGCGCACAUGCUGUGAGCUCGAUGAGUAGGGCGGGACACGUGGUAUCCUGUCUGAAUAUGGGGGGACCAUCCUCCAAGGCUAAAUACUCCUGACUGACCGAUAGUGAACCAGUACCGUGAGGGAAAGGCGAAAAGAACCCCGGCGAGGGGAGUGAAAAAGAACCUGAAACCGUGUACGUACAAGCAGUGGGAGCACCCUUUGGGGUGUGACUGCGUACCUUUUGUAUAAUGGGUCAGCGACUUAUAUUCUGUAGCAAGGUUAACCGUAUAGGGGAGCCGCAGGGAAACCGAGUCUUAACCGGGCGUUAAGUUGCAGGGUAUAGACCCGAAACCCGGUGAUCUAGCCAUGGGCAGGUUGAAGGUUGGGUAACACUAACUGGAGGACCGAACCGACUAAUGUUGAAAAAUUAGCGGAUGACCUGUGGCUGGGGGUGAAAGGCCAAUCAAACCGGGAGAUAGCUGGUUCUCCCCGAAAGCUAUUUAGGUAGCGCCUCGUGAACUCAUCUCCGGGGGUAGAGCACUGUUUCGGCUAGGGGGCCAUCCCGGCUUACCAACCCGAUGCAAACUGCGAAUACCGGAGAAUGUUAUCACGGGAGACACACGGCGGGUGCUAACGUCCGUCGUGAAGAGGGAAACAACCCAGACCGCCAGCUAAGGUCCCAAAGUCAUGGUUAAGUGGGAAACGAUGUGGGAAGGCCCAGACAGCCAGGAUGUUGGCUUAGAAGCAGCCAUCAUUUAAAGAAAGCGUAAUAGCUCACUGGUCGAGUCGGCCUGCGCGGAAGAUGUAACGGGGCUAAACCAU
rnacentral:rRNA from 1 species